AUUGAACGCUGGCGACAUGCCUUACACAUGCAAGUCGAACGGUAACGCGGGGCAACCUGGCGGCGAGUGGCGAACGGGUGAGUAAUACAUCGGAACGUGCCCAGUAGUGGGGGAUAGCCCGGCGAAAGCCGGAUUAAUACCGCAUACGACCUACGGGUGAAAGCGGGGGAUCGCAAGACCUCGCGCUAUUGGAGCGGCCGAUGUCAGAUUAGGUAGUUGGUGGGGUAAAGGCCUACCAAGCCUACGAUCUGUAGCUGGUCUGAGAGGGCGACCAGCCACACUGGGACUGAGACACGGCCCAGACUCCUACGGGAGGCAGCAGUGGGGAAUUUUGGACAAUGGGCGCAAGCCUGAUCCAGCCAUGCCGCGUGCGGGAAGAAGGCCUUCGGGUUGUAAACCGCUUUUGUCAGGGAAGAAACGCUCUGGGUUAAUACCUCGGGGUAAUGACGGUACCUGAAGAAUAAGCACCGGCUAACUACGUGCCAGCAGCCGCCGUAAUAC
rnacentral:rRNA from 1 species